rnacentral:rRNA from 1 species
GAAAAAGUAGGGGAUGAGCUGUGGUUAGGGGUGAAAGGCCAAUCAAACUCGGAUAUAGCUGGUUCUCCGCAAAAUCUAUUUAGGUAGAGCGUUAUAGCCAUUACCGUCGAAGGUAGAGCACUGAAUGAGCUAGGGUGUCCCACAGACUUACCAAACUCAAUCAAACUCCGAAUGUCGACGAGUACAGCAUAGCAGACAGACUAUGGGUGCUAAGGUCCAUAGUCGAGAGGGAAAAAGCCCAGACCGCCAUCUAAGGUCCCUAAAUCAUGACUAAGUGUGAAAGGAUGUGAGAAGACCAAAACAACUAGGAUGUUGGCUUAGAAGCAGCCAUCAUUUAAAGAAAGCGUAACAGCUCACUAGUCUAAAUAAGUUUUCUUGCGCCAACAAUGUAACGGGGCUCAAGUCAUGUACCGAAGAUGCGGAUUCACGCUAAGCGUGAGUGGUAGCGGAGCGUUCCGUAAGCCUGUGAAGGUGAACCGUAAGGUUUGCUGGAGGUAUCGGAAGUGAGAAUGCUGACAUAAGUAGCGAUAAAGAAUGUGAGAAACAUUCUCGCCGAAAGUCCAAGGGUUCCUGCGUAAAGUUAAUCUGCGCAGGUUUAGUCGGCCCCUAAGGUGAGGCUGAAAGGCGUAAUCGAUGGGAAUCAGGUUAAUAUUCCUGAACCUGAAGGAUGUGACGAAAGUAGUAAGUUGUACAAUCUUAUUGGAUUGAUUGUGCAGCGAAUAUUUUCCAGGAAAUAACACCUUCAUUAUAGACCGUACCCGAAACCGACACAGGUGGACAGGUAGAGUAUACCAAGGCGCUUGAGAGAACGAUGCUGAAGGAACUAGGCAAAUUGCAUCUGUAACUUCGGAAGAAAGAUGACCUGUAUAUGGGCAACCAUUUGCAGGUGGCACAAGCUAGGGGGUAGCGACUGUUUAUUAAAAACACAGGGCUCUGCAAAGUCAAUAGACGACGUAUAGGGUCUGACGCCUGCCCAGUGCUGGAAGAUUAAAAGGAGGGGUGCAAGCUCUUAAUUGAAGUCCCAGUGAACGGCGGCCGUAACUAUGACGGUCCUAAGGUAGCGAAAUUCCUUGUCGGGUAAGUUCCGACCCGCACGAAUGGCGUAACGAUUUCCCCGCGGGAACUCCGCAUCUUCACGGAGAAUUCAAUUUCGCUGAGUCGAUACUGGAGACAGUGGGGAAAUCGUUACGCCAUUCGUGCGGGUCGGAACUUACCCGACAAGGAAUUUCGCUACCUUAGGACCGUCAUAGUUACGGCCGCCGUUCACUGGGACUUCAAUUCAGAGCUUGCACCCCUCCUCUUAAUCUUCCAGCACUGGGCAGGCGUCAGGCCCUAUACGUCGUCUAUUGACUUUGCAGAGCCCUGUGUUUUUAAUAAACAGUCGCUACCCCCUAGUUUGUGUCACCUACAAAUGGUUGCCCAUCUAUAGGUCAUCUUUCUCCCGAAGUUACAGAUGCAAUUUGCCUAGUUCCUUCAGCAUCGUUCUCUCAAGCGCCUUGGUAUACUCUACCUGUCCACCUGUGUCGGUUUGGGGUACGGUCUUUUACGAGGGUGUUAUUUCCUGGAAAAUAUUCGCUGCACAAACAAUCCAAUAAGUCUGCACAACUUUCUAUUUUCGUCACAUCCCUCAGGUUCAGGAAUAUUAACCUGAUUCCCAUCGAUUACGCCUUUCAGCCUCACCUUAGGGGCCGACUAAACCUGCGCAGAUUAACUUUACGCAGGAACCCUUGGACUUUCGGCG